rnacentral:rRNA from 1 species
GACGAACGCUGGCGGCGUGCCUAAUACAUGCAAGUCGAACGCAGUGGGGACGGGUGAGUAACACGUGGGUAACAUGCCAUCAGAGGGGAGAAACGUUGGAUACAGGUGCUAAACCGACACUGAAGGAUGGACUAGCGGUGCAUUAGCUAGUUGGUGAGGUAACGGCUCACCAAGGCCACGAUGCAUAGCCGACCUGAGAGGGUGAUCAGCCACACUGGGACUGAGACACGGCCCAGACUCCUACGGGAGGCAGCAGUGGGGAAUCUUCCACAAUGGACGAAAGUCUGACCGAGCAACGCCGCGUGAGUGAAGAAGGUUUUCGGAUCGUAAAACUCUUUUGUUAGAGAAGCGGUAUCUAACCAGAAAGCCCCGGCUAACUACGUGCCAGCAGCCGCGGUAAUAC